UGAGUAACCUGCCCUUAACUCUGGGAUAAGCCUGGGAGACUGGGUCUAAUACCGGAUACGACUCCUCAUCGCAUGGUGGGGGGUGGAAAGCUUUAUUGUGGUUUUGGAUGGACUCGCGGCCUAUCAGCUAGUUGGUGUGGGUAAUGGCCCACCAAGGCGACGACGGGUAGCCGGCCUGAGAGGGUGACCGGCCACACUGGGACUGAGACACGGCCCAGACUCCUAACGGGAGGCAG
rnacentral:rRNA from 1 species